rnacentral:rRNA from 1 species
AUUGAACGCUGGCGGCAGGCCUAACACAUGCAAGUCGAACGAGUGGCGGACGGGUGAGUAAUGUCUGGGAAACUGCCUGAUGGCGGGGGAUAACUACUGGAAACGGUAGCUAAUACCGCAUACCAUCGGAUGUGCACAGAUGGGAUUAGCUAGUAGGUGGGGUAACGGCUCACCUAGGCGCCGAUCCCUAGCUGGUCUGAGAGGAUGACCAGCCACACUGGAACUGAGACACGGUCCAGACUCCUACGGGAGGCAGCAGUGGGGAAUAUUGCACAAUGGGCGAAAGCCUGAUGCAGCCAUGCCGCGUGUGUGAAGAAGGUCUUCGGAUUGUAAAGCACUUUAAGUUGGGAGGCGUUACCAACAGAAUAAGCACCGGCUAACUUCGUGCCAGCAGCCGCGGUAAUUC